GAUGAACGCUGGCGGCGUGCCUAAUACAUGCAAGUCGAGCGAAUGGAUUAAGAGCUUGCUCUUAUGAAGUUAGCGGCGGACGGGUGAGUAACACGUGGGUAACCUGCCCAUAAGACUGGGAUAACUCCGGGAAACCGGGGCUAUACCGGAUAACAUUUUGAACCGCAUGGUUCGAAAUUGAAAGGCGGCUUCGGCUGUCACUUAUGGAUGGACCCGCGUCGCAUUAGCUAGUUGGUGAGGUAACGGCUCACCAAGGCAACGAUGCGUAGCCGACCUGAGAGGGUGAUAGGCCACACUGGGACUGAGACACGGCCCAGACUCCGACGGGAGGCAGCAGUAGGGAAUCUUCCGCAAUGGACGAAAGUCUGACGGAGCAACGCCGCGGGAGUGAUGAAGGCUUUCGGGUCGUAAAACUCUGUUGUUAGGGAAGAACAAGUGCUAGUUGAAUAAGCUGGCACCUUGACGGUACCUAACCAGAAAGCCACGGCUAACUACGUGCCAGCCGCCGCAGUAA
rnacentral:rRNA from 1 species